AAAGUUUCCAGUUGAUUGGAUGGAGUUCCACAGCCUGAGUUUCAGUUAACUGAGGAUGUCAGACAGACUCAGGAUGCGAGAUCUGUUACAUAACACAAAACUGUGUGAAGGUUAAAAAUUAUAAAAUUAAAUUAACCUGGACUUUAGUGCUAAUCAAGAAUAUAUCAUAAUGAGGCUGGACAUCAGUCCUGGGUGCUAAGCAGAGGGAAAGAACUUAUUCCAUCGAGAGUUUCAUCUGCCAUGGCCAACACGACAAAUGGCUCAAACUUCCAGUUUCACUUCAAAGGGUUUUUCCAGAGUACUGCUGAUCUUCUUCAGGCCUUUAUCUCCAGGCUUGCACCUACUCAUGUGCUUUCGCCUAUUCCCAAUGGUUUCAAAAUUCCCUCUCUAGAAAUAUCUAUAAUUUUACUAAAGAAAAACAAUCAGUCAUUCAUUUCUACUACGUAAGUUUGGAUUACAGCUGACAACAUCCAAUGAAAAAGGGGCACUGGAAUUACCUUCCAGUGGAAAACGCUUCACAAGCGAUGUUCAGUAAUGUGACGUGUGAGAAAAGAACUAGAUAAAAUAAAGCAAGUUUUAGGAUACCAAUUCCUUAGAAUUAAUAGCUAUAGCUCAUUAGAAAGCUUAAUGAGGUAUAAUAAACCAUGGAGAUCUUUUUCUACCUUUCCUUGAAAGCCACUUUUAGUUGGCAGAGCUCUGUAUAGCACUGUGCAUGUCAAUGUGUGCAUUAUUAGCACUACAAAAUUGUUAGUGCUAGAAAAUUGCAUACUGUUCAUGAAGCAUAGCAUACAAUAAGCUGCAAGGUGUCAAAGUAAAUUUAACACGACAAAACAGCUAAUAAGAAAAUCCAAUGAAGAUGUGACCUUCAAAAAAUCUUUUUUUCUUUUUUUUUUUAAUGAAAGGUGAAUUUGGUUGUUAUUCCAAGGAAACAUCAUUGUCAGAUUACAGUAGUUCACAGAUUUAUCUUUACUUAAAACUGCAUUACAGCAAAGCCAUUGUAAAACCCUUAAUACUUGUUUUAAUGAAAUGUUUUUUAAAAGCAAAUACUUCAAACCCACAGAAAUGGAAAGCAGUUGCAAGAGAGAGACAGAGCUAGAAGGAAAAAUAUCACAUCUCCCAUUCUUUAUUCUGCCUUAUUCUUUUUAGAUUUUGGGAGGGAUCUGAGAGGAAAUGUGAACAGUAUUUCCAUGAUUGUACAGAAAUUAUAUGCUGUCUGGGUUGUACCAAUAAUUGCUCCAGUUUGGAGAAUUUGACCAUACACGGAAAAGCACAGAACUGAUUCCAGUUGAACUAAAUUUGAAUCCUGUGAUUUCCCUUUGCAUUAUCUAACAUAGGAAAAAGAUACAUUUGGCAUAAGUUUCAUUUGCAACCCCCAUUUCAGAAAACCCUGUGUUCACCUGUGCACACCCCUCAAGUUUGUGUAUGCAAGCUCUAGGGACCACAGGUCUGCUAUCUCAAUUUUGUACAGAUCAGUUUCUGGUCAAUACGCAAUAAGCACAACCUCAAAGUCAAUGAGGGGCUAAACCUUUCAUCCCCUAUCUAUGCCUGUGACAGGGCUCUUUAAGGGGGAAAAAGACAAAAAAGCUCAUAAGUUAGUCUCUGCAAAGCAGCCAAAUAUGUAUAAACUGUCAAUGUCAAGUGAGGAGCAGGAAAGAGAAGAACGGUGAUUGAGGAACUAACUAGAGAAUAGACAAAAACUCUUUCUGUUUUCCUUUCCCUACUUAGAUCCUCCCAUCUAACUCAGAAGGGUACAGCCAUUUCAGUAUCUCAUAUCACCUAGGAUGUAGAUGCUCUCAGGCCACAAACUACCUGGCACCUUGUUACAGAAACAUGGGCAGCUCUCCUUUGCAGGAAGAUUCCUCAAGGAGCCCUCCUGACCUCUUUCCAGAUUGCUAUGACCACGCAUAUUUGGAUAAAACAAGAGAUCAAUCAUAAGGCCUGGCAUCACACACUGGAUGGAGAUACCACAGUAGUGACUAACAGAGGGGUGAAGCAGAGCCUUCAGACUUCAAGCAAGCAGAUAGUGAAGAGAUGCUGAGGGAAGAGGGCUGUACUCAAAACCACGGUCUAAGAGUGUAAUCUUGGCAGCCACACUCUGGGGGAGCUGCACAAGGAAAGACUGCAUUUAUCAUGGAAAAGAUGUAAGGAAGAGCCUAGUCCAAUAUGUUAGCUGGAUAAAAAAUGCCUUAAAACUGAGUUGAUAUAAAACAGAAUCUGCACAAGUUACAGCACAAGCAUAGGUCAAGCUGCAGACUGAACUCAGAUUAUGUGUGACAGGUUGGACCAUGGCAGUAUGCGUUGUGAUCAAGAAAGGAAAUGCAUUCCAACUUGGAAUUGAGCAAAUACAUCAUUUUACCUUUCCUCCCACCCCAUCCCACCCCUGUUUUUGAAAGAGUUAGCAUGGAGUACUUGAUAUCUGCUGUGACAAUUUCCUGGCACUUCUUUAGGUGCAGAUGAAGAACAUCUAAGUGUAACUAAGCCAUCUUUAAAGAAAAAUCAAAGGUAAUGGUCAAGAAAGCUCUAAGGAAUUCAUUCACUUGACAAACUUUCCAUACAGUAUCUUGAUUCUAAUUCUUGAUAUCUUAGUGCUACAGGAGGUCAGAGGACUGAAAGUAACUGCUGUCUACUUCCACAUGAAUGUGGAAAUCCUCUCUUUUCCAUAAUCUUAACUUCCUACUUCUUGCUGUGAAGCUGAUUGGCCAGAAGACAAGAAUUUCUCCUCAUGAAAAACACUGAGGUUUUGGCAUUUGCCGUUCAGACAAAAAUGAGGGAUUUCAAAAUAUUUCACCACAGGGGAAGGAAUGUCUGUGAGUUACUCCAGAGCAGCACUGAAUGCACUUGUCUAGUAGUGAUUCAAGGCUGCUCUUCUCCAUUUCCGUAGCUGACUUUUCAAAGAAAGAGGGGAAAACAUCCAAAUCUUUUUGAAUUCAGCUGUUCCUCUGAAUAAAGUUAAAAAAGGAGGCUGAACAUUUCCUUCUCUAUUUAUGAAAGGCCAUUAUUUACGCAUUCCUGAGAUAAACUAUGGGAAACAUAAAGCAGGGUGAUUUCUGAUUGAAUCAAUAAGGAUGAAGGAUGAUGAGAACAGUUUUUGUAUCUAUUAUACAGAGCAUAACACCACUUAUAAGCCAUACAAGCUAUCACUGGGGCAGGAGCUGAGCCCCCAUGCAGCAUGGAGCAUACAAAUCCAGGCAGCGCUGUGCAGGGAAUGACAAAAGCACCUCAGUCCUCCUGGUUCCUCAGCAGUGCUGCACUUGUACCUGGGAAAAGCUCUGCCCAGAGACAAGACAGCUGAGAUUAGGUAAGGACAUCACUAAGUUGAUGGUUCACAGUAUCCUGUAUAAUUGUGGUAUUUAGCACAUGUUGUUGGAUAAGGGCUGAAACCAAUUGCAUUCUGGUUAAUCUUCCUUGAGUACCUAUGGCUGGCUGGCUGGAAGAAAAUUAUUCUGAAAUGAACUGGUAUCUUAUAAUAAAGGUUACAUUACCCAGUAAGACCUGCUCCUGGGCUAGCCCUGCCCUAUGUCCUGAAAGACUUUGAGGAAUGUGCGGGAGGAGGAGAAACUUUCCAUUUAAAUACCUCCUAAAUUUUUUCAUUCUUUGCCUUGGUCCUCCUCUCCUUUUCCCAUCCACACUGUUCAAACUGGGAUUGAGAGUAUCCCAUGAAACAUGCUUAGUUAUCUGGAUAUUUUUCUCUAGAUAAAUUUGCCUUGUGGUUAAGGUUUUCUUGUUUAAACCUGUCUUUGAAGAUAUCUGUAGCAGAAAAUAAAAAAUAAAAAAAAUUGAGGCUGCUCUGUUUCACUAUGCACCUAGUGACCUGCCUAACUGUUGUAUGCUUCUUAAGCCCAGGACAGAGGAGUACAUACGCAGUUUUAUAAGGUUACAUAAAAAGUUACGAAUGUCUUAUGUAAGUAUUUGACUUGUUCGUAGUCAAUGGGAACUAUUUGUACAUGUAAGGCAAGCAAGAUUUACCCUGUAAUGGAUAAUCCUUUCUUCAUUUAAUAAAUAAUCCUUUGUUUACCUUUCCUCAGUUCUCAAAGUCAAUCUUCA
ensembl:lncRNA